rnacentral:rRNA from 1 species
UACGGGGGGAGCAAGCGUUGUUCGGAUUUACUGGGCGUAAAGGGCGCGUAGGCGGUCAGCACAAGUCAGCUGUGAAAUCUCCGAGCUUAACUCGGAAAGGUCAACUGAUACUGUGCGACUAGAGUGCGGAAGGGGCAACUGGAAUUCUUGGUGUAGCGGUGAAAUGCGUAGAUAUCAAGAGGAACACCUGCGGCGAAGGCGGGUUGCUGGGCCGACACUGACGCUGAGGCGCGAAAGCUAGGGGAGCGAACGGG